AUGGGAUAUGGGUAUAAAUGUCCCUCUGACCUGAGACCGCCACGGUGACUUGCAAGCAACUCACUGCACUUAGGCACUGGACUACCUGAAUUUCUAAUUCAGUGACGGAAGGCUGCUGGGUGUAGUCAAGUACUUGACUUGUCGGUGCGUGUGUCAAGAUGGGAUUGACCACUUCAGUUUAGGAGUUGUGUACAGUCAUGUUUCAAUUUAGCAAAAUCUUGAUCAGGGUAGUCCUAGUGAGGAGUCAUAGGACUAAUUGAGUUGAGCACGAUUCGGAUGAUCUCAUCAGGGUUGACAGUUUAACCUUGAGUCGUCCUAAACACAGGGGUCAAAAGGGAUGAAUUAUACGGUAACCAUAUUCACGUAGGUUCUGAAUAUUAUGAUUGUGACUAUUCAACCUAUCCGAUCAUUGGGUACCAUUGCUAGAUGGUCACUUCGAUUAGUACAGAAAUUGG
rnacentral:lncRNA from 1 species